UGGGGAAUUUUGCACAAUGGGGGAAACCCUGAUGCAGCGACGCCGCGUGAUUUAGAAGGCCUUCGGGUUGUAAAAAUCUUUUUUACGGGAUGAAAAUGACAGUACCGUAAGAAUAAGGUCCGGCUAAAUACGUGCCAGCAGCCGCGGUAAUACGUAUGGACCGAGCGUUGUCCGGAAUCAUUGGGCGUAAAGGGUACGUAGGCGGCCUAGUAAGUUAGAAGUGAAAUAAUAUAGCUCAACUAUAUAAAGCUUUUAAAACUGCUAGGCUAGAGAGAUGGAAGGGAAAGUGGAAUUCCUAGUGUAGCGGUGAAAUGCGCAGAUAUUAGGAAGAAUACCGGUGGCGAAGGCGACUUUCUGGUCAUCAUCUGACGCUGAGGUACGAAAGCGUGGGUAGCAAACAGG
rnacentral:rRNA from 1 species